UGGGGAAUUUUGGACAAUGGGCGAAAGCCUGAUCCAGCAAUGCCGCGUGUGUGAAGAAGGCCUUCGGGUUGUAAAGCACUUUUGUCCGGAAAGAAAUCCUUGGCUCUAAUACAGUCGGGGGAUGACGGUACCGGAAGAAUAAGCACCGGCUAACUACGUGCCAGCAGCCGCGGUAAUACGUAGGGUGCAAGCGUUAAUCGGAAUUACUGGGCGUAAAGCGUGCGCAGGCGGUUUGCUAAGACCGAUGUGAAAUCCCCGGGCUCAACCUGGGAACUGCAUUGGUGACUGACAGGCUAGAGUAUGGCAGAGGGGGGUAGAAUUCCACGUGUAGCAGUGAAAUGCGUAGAGAUGUGGAGGAAUACCGAUGGCGAAGGCAGCCCCCUGGGCCAAUACUGACGCUCAUGCACGAAAGCGUGGGGAGCAAAACAGGAUUAGAUACCCUGGUAGUCCACGCCCUAAACGAUGUCAACUAGUUGUUGGGGAUUCAUUUCCUUAGUAACGUAGCUAACGCGUGAAGUUGACCGCCUGGGGAGUACGGUCGCAAGAUUAAAACUCAAAGGAAUUGACGGGGUCAUAGCUGUUUCCU
rnacentral:rRNA from 1 species